AUACGGAGGGGGUUAGCGUUGUUCGGAAUUACUGGGCGUAAAGCGUACGUAGGCGGGUUGUUAAGUUAGAGGUGAAAUCCCAGGGCUCAACCCCGGAACUGCCUCCAAAACUAUCAGUCUAGAGUUCGAGAGAGGUGAGUGGAAUUCCAAGUGUAGAGGUGAAAUGCGUAGAGAUCUGGAGGAACAUCAAUGGCGAAGGCAACUCCCUGGCCAAAGACUGACGCUCAUGUGCGAAAGUGUGGGUAGCGAACAGGAUUAGAUACCCUGGUAGUCCAUGCAGUAAACGAUGAGUGCUAGAUGUUGGGAAUUUAAAUUUCCAGUAUCGCAGUUAACGCGUUAAGCACUCCGCCUGGGAAGUACGCACGCAAGUGUGAAACUCAAAGGAGUUGACGGGGACCCGCACAAGCGGUGGAACAUGUGGUUUAAUUCGAUGAUACGCGAAGAACCUUACCUGGGUUUGACAUGUUAGUGAAAGUUUUCUGAAAGAAUUCCUUUUAAGAGCUUGCUCUUAAACACUAUC
rnacentral:rRNA from 1 species